CAGUCGCCACGGGAACACGGAGGGUGCAAGCGUUAAUCGGAAUUACUGGGCGUAAAGCGCACGCAGGCGGUCUGUCAAGUCAGAUGUGAAAUCCCCGGGCUUAACCUGGGAACUGCAUUUGAAACUGGCAGGCUAGAGUCUUGUAGAGGGGGGUAGAAUUCCAGGUGUAGCGGUGAAAUGCGUAGAGAUCUGGAGGAAUACCGGUGGCGAAGGCGGCCCCCUGGACAAAGACUGACGCUCAGGUGCGAAAGCGUGGGGAGCAAACAGGAUUAGAGACCCCUGUAGUCCCUGUCUCUUAUAA
rnacentral:rRNA from 1 species